UGCCAGCCGCCGCGGUAAUACGGAGGGGGCUAGCGUUGUUCGGAAUCACUGGGCGUAAAGCGCGCGUAGGCGGGCUGGUCAGUUGAGGGUGAAAUCCCGGGGCUUAACCUCGGAACUGCCUUCAAUACUGCCAGUCUUGAGUUCGAGAGAGGUGAGUGGAAUUCCUAGUGUAGAGGUGAAAUUCGUAGAUAUUAGGAAGAACACCAGUGGCGAAGGCGACUCUCUGGGCCAAUACUGACGCUGAGGUUCGAAGGCAUGGGUAGCGAACAGGAUUAGAUA
rnacentral:rRNA from 1 species